UAAGUACUCCCUCCGUUCCAAAUUACUCGUCGCAGAAAUGGAUGUAUCUAGAACUAAAAUACAUCUAGAUACAUCCAUACCCGCGACAAGUAAUUCGGAAUGGAGGGAGUAUAUG
rnacentral:pre_miRNA from 1 species